AUUGAACGCUGGCGGAAUGCUUUACACAUGCAAGUCGAACGGUAGAGGGGGCAACCCCUCGAGAGUGGCGAACGGGUGAGUAAUAUAUCGGAACGUGCCCAGUCGUGGGGGAUAACGUAGCGAAAGUUACGCUAAUACCGCAUACGAUCUAAGGAUGAAAGCGGGGGAUCGCAAGACCUCGCGCGAUUGGAGCGGCCGAUAUCAGAUUAGGUAGUUGGUGGGGUAAAGGUUCACCAAGCCAACGAUCUGUAGCUGGUCUGAGAGGACGACCAGCCACACUGGAACUGAGACACGGUCCAGACUCCUACGGGAGGCAGCAGUGGGGAAUUUUGGACAGUGGACGCAAGUCUGAUCCAGCCAUUCCGCGUGCAGGAUGAAGGCCCUCGGGUUGUAAACUGCUUUUGUACGGAACGAAAAGGUCUCUCUUAAUACGGGGGACUCAUGACGGUACCGUAAGAAUAAGCACCGGCUAACUACGUGCCAGCAGCCGCCGUAA
rnacentral:rRNA from 1 species